GAGUGUAUGGCUCAAAGUGCUAGAGCACCAGCCUGGAGAAAAAAAAAAGCUAACAUAGUAUCCAGGCCCUGGGUUCAAGCCCCAGUACAUGCA
rnacentral:tRNA from 1 species